rnacentral:lncRNA from 1 species
AUGGCAUCAUUCCCGUGUUUUUGUUCAGUAAAAAUUCCUGCCGUUGGAUCUGGCCUGCUGGUCCCUGGGGCCUUGUUUGCUCUCCAAAUAACCGGGCUGAGCUCCCGCGGUGCCGCGGCCCCAGCCUGGGUGCGCCAACCUUUGGUCCCGGCACCCUCCUGUGCCGGAGACCCCAUCCCCGGGCUGGACCCCGCGCUGGGGCUUUGCUCCGGGGCUUUCACAACCCCAGCCCGUGGCUGCAGCGGGGACGGACAGGGCAGAGUCCGGCCGGCAUCGGUGAAGGUGGGUGGAGAACGGCAGAGCCACGAGCUCCCGGGGCCCAUCGGGACCCUGAAACUCCUGGCCGAGGUGCGGUGGGACCGGGGUGCCCCAGGCUCCCCACUGGAGCUGCGUCGUGGCUGCGCGCACCGAGCUGGCGGUGGCCGAGCGGCUCCCCGGGCGGUGGCCGGGAGCGGUGGCCUGGGGCGAGGCUGGCACGGCUCGGCAGGGCACCCGCGGGUGCUGGGGCGGAGCGGGAGGGGCAGGGCGAGGAUCCAGGGCGGGUGCUGGCUCUGCCAGUGCCCUGAGCCCUUCCAGGAAAGGGCCCCGCGCCCGCGCCCCGGGCCAGGUCUCCUGCGGUGGCCCAGGGCCACCGUGACCACUGCUGUGUCCCCAAGCCAGCGCUCAGCCCCUUGGGGCCCUGCGGGACGUGCGAGGCCGGUGUGGCACGGGGACGGUGGCCUGGCUUGGUGGCAGCAGUGGGACAGCCACGGUGGCCGUGCAGCCUGCCCUGGCCCUCUGCAUGCUGUGGGCAGGCACGGUGCGGAGCGAGCUGCCCCUGGCCAGGGCUGGCAACUAAUUCAGCUGUGGUGGUGGCCACGGGCCCCCCCCAGCGCCUCGGCACAGCGUUGGGACCCCAGAGGUGGCACUGAAAGGAUCCCGGUGGUCAGAGGCGGCCAGCGGGCGGGAGCCACGGGAGCCACGGAGCCCCCACGGAGGUGGCAGGGGAAGGGUCGGCGGGGCAGGGGGUCCGGGGGGGGCCCCGCCAACCCGGGCGGGCCGGUCUCCCCGCCGGCGCUGCUGAGUCGCAGGAAGGAGAGGAGCAGGGUGCUGGGGAACCAGCCCGACCGGCUCCCCGGCUGUCAGCACCUGAGGAAUGCCAAACCUCCGCUCGCCAGGGCUGGGUGCUCGGCGAGGGCUGGGUGCUCGCCGGGUGACUCUGCCGGUCCGCCCAGCCGCGGCGUGCCGGUGCAGGGAGCAGCACCCCGAGCCCCGCACGGCGCCCUCGGCACGGCCAGCCCGGCGCCCACCAGGACCCUCGGCCAGCAGGUACGUGGGGGUGCGGGUUUGGGGCCCGUGGGUGCUGCCGGGGCGCGUGGCGGUGGUGGGAAGGGCGGCGGUGCCGUGCCAGGAGCGGGAAGGCACCUGCUGCCAGCGGCACCGCGGCCGGAGCCGUGCCCCGGUGUGGCGGCGCUGUGCUGGGGCUCCCAGCUGAGCCAGCAUCGCUGGGGACGGGGAUGGGGGCUGAGCCCCUCUCAGCUCCAACCUCUUCAAGGGUUUAGCCCCACUCCCACAUCAGAGUGUGUCACCGGACCCACUGGGGACAAACCGGGGCUCACCCACCUCCGGUGGCCUCGUGGCUGGGGGUCACGGGGGCCUGGCCGCCCCCAUCCCCUCCUCUCCGCAGGGCUCGUGGCUGGGGGCUGCCCGUGA